CUGCUGUGAAGCUCAUCCUCCCAGCAUCGAGCUGGGUGCACUGCAACAACACGAGAGGCUGCGGACAUGGAGGUGGUAGGAUUUUAACAAAGAAACUCCAGUAACAGCAUUUAAGGGAAGAGCUAACGACAGAAAAAUAUAGAAUGAACGGGAAGAAAAAGAAGAAACAGAAAGUGAAAUGGGUCAACCUCCUCAUCUCAUUUGCAGAAUCAUAAAAUUCAACAAACCCCAUGGAAGACUUAAACAUUCCUGAUAUGUGUCACAGCUGCGACUUCAAGAGGGUUGCAGUAGAGCAGCAGCUUCCUGGGUGCUCAGUCUGCUCCCAUGAGAUGCCAGGCCAAAGUGAGCAUCCACUUCAAGGGCUGGAUUAGACACAGCAAAUAGGAACUGUGCCACUGACUUCUACGAGGACACACUGUGCCUACACCACAGGAACUGAAGGGAGCUCUAGGUACCUGCAUGCCCACUCUUUUAGAGUGGAGUGCAGUUCAGCAUGACACAGACAAGCCAGCUCUGAAGCAGGAAGAAUGAAGAACUUGUAGCUUCCUGGGCUUGGAGUUGGGCAAUGGGAGAUCCUGGUAGUGCAGUUCACUUGCAGCUGCAGAAAUGAUAUCCAAGAAGGUACUUGAAGAAGCAGAGCACGGAGACAACAAAGACACUCUGCCUUUUGUUGACGACAAAGAAGUGGCUCCUUCCUUCUCUUGGAAGGAGUUCCUUUUGCAGGCAGCGCGUGCGUGUGGUGGCUGAUGGAGCGGCGGCAGGCUGGGCACCAGAGCUGCGCUGGCCCAGCUUGGCAAGCAGAAGAUGACCUCAGUGACCAGAGUUCAAAACAAAGAACAAGACUGAAGAAAGUCUCACCCUGAGUGACUGGCUGCUGUCCAUACAUAUUCUUUAAAAACAAAGGUGCUUUCAAUGCACAGGGACAGAGGAUAAAAGAAUAAACAUGAUGGUGCCUUGCAUUUCAAAAGAAUCUCUUUGCAAAUGCUUCUGAUCUACCGAGGGCUAAUAUUCUCCAGUUCUGCCUUCCUUUCCAGGAGGAAUGCAGUGACACUGAGUUUGAAAUCUAAUUGGUGAAUGGGACUUCAGGAGCAAGGGGGAAGUCUUCUCUUUUUGCCCAAGCAGAGAUGAAGGUCCCCUGGCUGGAGCCCAAGACAGGGCUGUCUGUCUGCCUGUGCCACCACACGAUGCCAGACAUCAGACUCUCUCUCAGACUGCUGAAAACAUCUCAGCCUGGUGACUUCCUCUCUCAGCCUUGUUGGCUGUUUGAAAAGGUCGUCAAGUUGAGCACAGCAGCACCCAUGACACUUUUCACCUUCCUCAGUACCGUGGGUGACCUCUGGAUUCCUGAGCUCACCAUAGCCAAAAACCUGUACAGCUCUCUCCUUGGGAGGUCUGUCUGGGUCAUCAGCCCAGAAAGAUAGUUGCCAGGGCACAUGGAUGAUGAGACUGCUGUAUACCCAUCCAAUGGGCCUCUAGGAUUGCCUGCAGUGUCGAUGGCUCCUGAACCCCACCUAAGAGAAGAACUCCCUGCCUUCACUGGUCUCACACGCAAUAUUGAUCAACAAACAUGUGAGCAUCCAUGGCAAGCACUGCUAGAGCACUGACAAGUGUGCAUCUCCCAGCCAGUACAGCCUUCAUCGUGGUACACAACCGGACUUACCCAAGACAAGGACAGCUACCAACAGCUGACUUUUAUCAUACAGGACUGCUUCAGGACUGGACUCCAUUGCUGUGAAUGGCAAUGAUUCACUGUCCCAGAAAGCCUUUUGAAGCUUGUUGGCUCGUUCACCAGUGUUACAGUCCCUAACAUGAGCAUAUGUUGUGAAGCCGCAGAGGAAGGGUCAAUGUUAGUGGAUGAGCUGACCCUGCUUGUCCUGUGCUCAGCCUCUGAUCUGAUGGAACACUCUCUAGCUUAGGUGUGGCAACCAUAUCUCUGUUAGUGUGGUAUUGAGCUAGAGAUGGUUCAAGCUGAGUGCUAUUCCUGUGAUCUCACCCACAAGACCUUCCUUCCUUUCUGGUAAAAACUGAGCUCUGUGUGUACUGAAAAAAGUAGUCCAGAUCCAACUCAGCUAUUCUGGGGGAACAGGAGGAUUCAAGACUGCUCUCCAUCAAAGGUCUGGCAAAAGAAAAGCAGAAAAACAGCCAAAAGCAGUGACGUACACAAACCCCAAAUCUCCUGGGUUCACUGGAGUUUUUAAGAACGUAGAAGUAUCUCCUAAGGCAGAUGGAAAUAUUCCUUCUUCUACCCACUGUCCUGGUGGGAUCUGAUGCCCCACGUGGGAUCUGUACAAGUUUCUUUAUCAUCACAAUCUGUCUCCAUCCCUCAGUUCCCUCAUGCCGUUCAGAGAAGUUUGUCCAUACAGAAUAUUUGUCAAUACUCCAAAUAAACGGCAUCAUGCUUCCUUGUUUCUCUGUCUGUAUCUCCCUGUUCCUGACAUAAGUGAAAAUCCUACUGGGCAGGACAGUUCUUUCUUACUGUAUUUGUACAACAGGUAGCCUGUUGGCUUUGUGGUCUGUUAUUGGGAACACUGCCAGCAGUGCUGACUUUUUGGUGAAGAUGAAUAAUAGAAUUUUCUAGCAUGCCAUUGUUUUUCCAAUAAAUUUCUCACAUGUUGCAUUAAAUAU
ensembl:lncRNA